rnacentral:lncRNA from 1 species
UCUGUGCUUGUAAAACAAUGUAUUUGGCGAACUGGUACAAUUUGUUAUAUCCGAAAUUACGUCACUGAACAGUCGGCACUUUCUCGUUUGUAAAUUGUGUGAAAACGAAAAACACUCCUCCUUUCGAGAUGUGCAUUUUUCUGCACAUGAAAGUUUUGAUCUAGUGGUCAAACUGUUCAGAAGAAAAAUUUCACAAUCCUGACCAGUUUCCGUUGUCUGUUUGAUAAAUUUUUCUUCUAUUAUUAAUGCUAAAACAUUCGCUUUAACAGAAAAAAGUAUCCCGAAGCUAAUUACUACACGCAUAUCUAUUUUAAUCUAAUUUACAUGUUUCAAUGUUCAUGGUAUAAAGUUUCUGAUACAAUGAGAUUAGCCGCACAGAAUGCGUAGGAAUUGCAUACAUGAGUUCUUCUGCCCAUCGAUAUCUUAAUGGGAACUGUUAAAGUGUUCUGUAUUAUUCUCUCCUUGUGUAUGCAGUGGCAAAAAU